rnacentral:lncRNA from 1 species
AAAACUUUGAAAUCUCUCAACUUUCUCCCAUGUUGCAUGUUCUCUCUGUGUUCCCUAAAUAAAUCAUGUUAUUUUGUUAUGGAUCCUUAAAGGAUGUAUCUAUGAUUUAGGAGCUUAAUAUGUGAUUCCCAAGCUCAAGGAAAGGAAUACUUAAGUCCAAGGGUGUCUUAAUGUUUAGCUUACUGUAAAGUCUUAUAAAUCGUAUAGUUAUGAAUUAUGUUACAAGGGUCGUGUCCCUAAUGUACACUAAUUAUGUUGAGUCUAACAUGGAAAAAAGAGACUUAGAGUCCUUAAUAUGUAUAAAGAUAUUUUAUAUAUAUUAAAAGUAAUGUUCUAGC